rnacentral:lncRNA from 1 species
CAAAGAAUGCAAAUACUAACUUAGGCCAAAUAAAAAAGUAUGUGUGGUUCCAGUUACAUCUGAAAAAAAGUAAGGGUAGGUAGGUAGGGAUUUUUUUUUUUUUUUUUUUUUUUUUUACAUUGACUCUAUGGGAGCAACAUUCUGACUUUAACAGUGCUUAAUGAAAAAUGACAAUAAAAUCUUUAGGGUAGGCUAUUUUUAAGCCGAAAAAGUAGGGACGGUAGGGUUACUGGAACCACACAUAUAUUUUUAUUUGGCCUUACAAAACACAUUGAGCAUUAAAAUAAAAAAAUAUAAAAUGUUAUACAUCAUUGUUGUAGAAAUGUUCUGAUAAAUGAUUAUAACAGUCAUAGUUCAAUAUAAAAAAAGAAGAUGUGGUAUGAUUGCUAAUGAGACAACUCGCCACAAGAGACUAAAGGACACAGAAAUUAACAACUAUAGGUCACCGUAGGCCUUCAACAAUGAGCAAAACCCAUGCCGCAUAAGCAUCUAUAAAAGUCCCCAAC